CUUUGCUACUAUAUAAAUGGAGUCCUAAUUUCAUCGUAAAAUUCUCGCUUCUGAAUUCUGAAUUGCAGUACCGUAGGAGGACCUCUAAGGUGGCUUUCAGGACAAAGGUUUUCCACCAAACAUCAAUAGCAAUGUCAGCAUUUGCCUAGACAUUUUGAAGGAACAGUGGAGCCCUGCACUUACAAUCUCCAAGGUAUUGCUCUCUAUCUGUUCUCUGCUAACAGACCCUAAUCCUGAUGACCCUUUGGUGCCGGAGAUUGCUCAUAUGUACAAGACUGAUAGAAGCAAGUAUGAGACAACUGCCCGGAGCUGGACUCAAAAAUUUGGCAUGGUUAGUUGUUGUGGCCAACUCUGGAGGGGCUCCGUUUCUUCUGUGGUAUUUUGUAUUAUCUAUUAUGUAUUAAGAAAUUCUGUUCUUAUGCAUAAUCAAACUCAAACGGGAAAUAGUUGAACAGGGUCCUUCCUGAAACAAAUUGAUUUGCUUUUUGUUUGCAAGAAUUUAAUGGUGUUGAAACUCUA